rnacentral:lncRNA from 1 species
GUUUUUCUUUGAAUAAGGCCCAAACAAUUUAAUUAAAAUAGGUCCAAAUCCUUUAAUUAAAAGAAGCCCAUCAGAUUUUAUUUGUAAAGGGCCGAGCCCAAACAUUUAAAUCGAAGCCCAUCUGUUAAUUAAAUAAGGGCCCAAUAUUUUCGGCCCAAACCCGGCUCAAACCCGGCUCAAACCCGGCCCAAACCCGGCUGAAACCCUAACCUAAAUAUACACACACAAUAAAACACACUCAGCACACACACAUCAAAUGCGCCUCUCUCUCUCUAUCUCUAUCUCUCGGCUCUCUCUCUCCCUACUCUCUCUGCUCUCUCUCUUUACUCUCUCUGCUCUCUCUCUUCGUUCUGCCGCCGCCGCUGCCGUUCAACGGCGCCGUCGCCGCCGGCGAGCGGCGCGGCCUCUCCUCCUCUCUCCCUAAACUCUUCCCCCCCUCUUCUCCUCUAUCUCUCUCGCUCAAUCUCGGCCGCUGGAAAGGCACAGCAGCGCAACCACGCCGCCGCUCCGUCGCCUCCGCCUCUCCUCCAUGGCAGAUCCGCCGCCGCCGUUCAACGCCACGGAUGUUCACGGCCAUCGCCUGGCCGUGGAAGAGCACGGCCGCCGCCU